UUCACAAGGAGGUGUCAUUUAU
rnacentral:miRNA from 5 species